rnacentral:rRNA from 1 species
UUACGCGAAGACCUUACCUACCCUUGACAUCGAGAGAACUUUCCAGAGAUGGAUUGGUGCCUUCGGGAACUCUCAGACAGGUGCUGCAUGGCUGUCGUCAGCUCGUGUUGUGAAAUGUUGGGUUAAGUCCCGUAACGAGCGCAACCCUUGUCCCUAUUUGCCAGCGAUUCGGUCGGGAACUCUAGGGAGACUGCCGGUGACAAACCGGAGGAAGGUGGGGACGACGUCAAGUCAUCAUGGCCCUUACGGGUAGGGCUACACACGUGCUACAAUGGCCGGUACAAUGGGUUGCGAAUCCGCGAGGUGGAGCUAAUCCCAUAAAGCCGGUCUCAGUCCGGACCGGAGUCUGCAACUCGACUCCGUGAAGUCGGAAUCGCUAGUAAUCGUGAAUCAGAAUGUCACGGUGAAUACGUUCCCGGGUCUUGUA